UGGGAGCCUGUUCUGCCUCCCCAACUGGUACCUGCCGUGCUUUUCCACAGCCCUCUGCUUCUGAUACCUGCAUCUCACACGUGGGAUCAAAAAAAAAAAGGCUCAUCCAGGGAACAGUUACCUGGUGUCCCCUGAUGUCGAUGGCAGAGGAUUUGUCCGUCACCCACAAGCUCUCGCUGUCGCAAACGGAGUAUUCCCCUCGGUGGCCCUUGUGCUCCGCGUACCUCUUCCUGCGGGAGGUCCUGUUGGCCGCGGAGUUCCCGACGUAAUCCUCCAUGAGGUACAGCGGCGGCGGCUCCAGCGGCGUGUUGUCGCUCAGGAGGACCCGGGGAGAGUUGUAGCGUCUCUGCUGCCUCAAGAGAUCUGUAUCCACUGAGAUAACCGGCUGGAAGUCUGAUUUCACGUUUUCCCCCCCAUCCGCGUCUCGCUGAGCGCCUGCUUUCUGCGCCGUGUUUUGAUAGUUUUCCUUAAUAUCUACCAUCUGCUUGGAAAGCUUGUUUUUUAAAAUGUCUGCCUGGAUGAGUUUGAUAAUAAGGGAAUUUAUCGAAUCUUCCGGCAAACUCCUUUGAUCCAUGUUGGUAGACUGGAUGCCACGAAGGUGUUUAUCAAUACUUCCCAGAGCAAUCCUCUCCACAACUUUACCAGGCAUUGAAGAGAGACUGACAGCCUGUAGUUCACAGGGUCCCGAUUCUUGCUGUAUUUGAAAAUCAGGGCAACAUUUGCCCACUUCCAGUCAGCUGGGACCUCUCUGGAUUCCCAACACUGAUCAAAAAAUCAUCGAGAGAGGUUUUGCAACAACAUCAGCAGCUCUUUCAGGAUUCUUGGAUAAAUCCCACCAGGGCCCAUAGAUUGUUAGGGAUCCAGCUGGAGCAGCAGAUCCCACACAGUUUCAGGGUCGUCUGGGAGUUGAUCAUUCUGGCAGUCAUGGUCCUCCAGCUCAGGGCACUGAGACACCCUUGGUCUGUCAUCCGUGUUGAAGACAGAGGCAAAAAAAUCAUUAAACCCCUCUGCCUUGUCUGUGAGGUGUCUCUGCCCUGUUUGUGAGGUGACCAUGUUCGAAAAGUGAGCAGUGCUGAUGGACUCCAGCACUUGCAAAAACCUUUUCCCAGGGGACAUUGCUUACUAAAUUCCUGAGCAACCUGAGGUCUGCUACCUGGCAUGAUUUGUGUAAGUCAGCUUGAAGCAUUUUCCACUUCCUAAAAAAUUUAAGAGCAGCUUCUGUUCUUCAGACCAAGCAACCAAGGAUCAUUUGUGGUGGCUGACAGCUUUUUCAGGCUUUUAGCAAAAUGUAAUUAAUUUAAUUACACAAUUGUAAUUAAACUCAUUGCUUGCUAAGCACUGCUUUCCCAAACUCUCAAGUAGUGGAAUGCCCUGUUGAUACCUUCUUCCUAAUAACCUUGUUGAGAAGAAAUGCAGCCCCUUCUCCUUUGUGGAAAAGGUACAGAACAAGAAAAGUAUCACUGCAUUCUCAGUGUUCAGAAAGAUGGGAACAUGAAAUAAUUGCAUAUGAAAAUGUGCACUGUAUUUCAGAAUAGUAAUGGACUAUUUGCACAACGUGUGCCUGCAGAAGGAUUUACUGGGGUAGAUUGCUGCAGAGUGCUGAAUGUCCCUAAAGACACUGUGACCCUCCUGAACAUUUCCACUUCUCAGGAUACGGAAAUUUCAACACAUAUGGAUUGAAGCUGAAGCUUUCACGAGAGCCAGACCCUCUGAGAAGCCGAAGAAUUCAGAGACAAAACCAAGGGGGACUGAGUUAUGGCAGCCCUGAGCGUUAACCCUCCCACCCUGAGUGCCAACCAAACUGCAGUUAGAGUGAGGGAAUUUGAAACUAAAGCAUUCCUGUUGCAGAUGGGCAGGGGAGAGGAGCUGCACGCUACAACUGGGGGAGCACACCAAGGUUUCUUAAUUUCUGCAGCAGGUCACUUGCCUUUAAUCACGCUUUACUCAAGGCCAUUUUCAGAAAAGGACACAUCUGAGCACUAAGCCCAAACAGCCUCCAGUGACUGGUAUAUACCUAAUCUCUCGUGGAGAUGGAGCUCAGCCUUCUGAGUCGCUGACAUUUCCUUUUCCUCUUUAAAUGACCGGCGGAGCAAAGCACAGCAGGACAGCUGUUCACUCCAGCGUGGAAAACUCAUCUGCACUUUGAACCAAUGCACAAUGCUAUUUAUGAUUAUCAUUAUGACCACGGCCCGGCUAGUCAGCGAGGAAAGCUUUCCCGACUGGUGACAUCUUCCUGAGGGACGCUUUUGGGAUAAUGCUUCUGCUGCAAGGAGCAAGCUGUUCUUGGAGCAGUUAAACGAGCUGUGUGGAGUCACAGCAACAUCUAGUGCCUGAAGGGACCCCACAUGAAAGAUGGGGAGAGACUUUACAAGAGCCUGGAGUGACAGGAGAAGGGGGAAUGGCUUCAAAGUGACAGAGAGCAGGUUUAGAUUGGAUAUCAAGGAGAAAUCCUUCCCUGGGAGGGUGGGCAGGCCCUGGCACAGGUUGCCCAGAGAAGCUGUGGCUGCCCCAUCCCUGGCAGUGUCCAAGGCCAGGUUGGAUGGGGCUCUGAGCAACCUGGGCUGGUGGAAGGUGUCCCUGCCCAUGGCAGGGGGUUGGAACAAAAGCUGAAAUAUUUCUACAUAUUGUUCACUGUGUAGCUCUGAAAACUGCCUGAAAUAAAGAGAAAUGUAAAGAUCAUAUCCUUACCUAAA